CAUUAGGGCCCCAAGACUAUAUAAAAUUCACCAGAAGCAGCUUACAUUGUGGUAGAGAUAAGGAGAGUAUUUGCAAUUGACCGGCCGACCUAGAGAUAGAUAAAUAGAUUUAGAUUUAGAUCAAAAACAGAAAGUCAAAAUGGAUCCUGAACGUGUAAAGGAAAUCUUGGAUUUCAAGAUAAACAACCGGCUUCCUGAGGGCUUGACGAAGCAUCAGCGUUAUAGCAUCAGAAGAAGAUCCACCAAUUUUGUCCUGCAGGAGACAGAUGGGGUGCAUAGAGGAACGUUCCUAGUUACGACCACAAGGGGGCAGCUCCCCUCAGGUCCGUAAUGCUUAAAGCACGGUGGAUGUAGACCUCACUUGGUCCAAAGGGUUUUAUAAACCAUGUCGGCUUGUCACAUGACUAUUGUGGUUUGGUAUGCUAGCUUACAGCGAACAUGCUAACGAAUAUAGCAUAGGAGAUUAUGUGGGCUAAGCUGGGACCCUAUAAAAUCUCCAUAGCCUGGCACCACAUAAUGAAUUGGAGAGUGAGAUUGUCAAUGCUUACCUUUUGGUUGGUGGUCCACAAGAAAGUAAAGGUCAUUGACACAUUUGGAAUGACACCUCAACAGAAAUGGGGAAGCUUGACGUAUCUGAUUGGGGCUGUCUGCAAGGACAGACACUGGACUCAUGGCCAUGUAUCCAAGUCAAAGCCAAGCUGUGUUUGUUGAUCCCUUUGGAGCCACAGAAACAUAAAUAAAAAACUGCAAAGACAAAACAAGGGCCUUUUUACAAAAAAAAAAACCCCUCGACAUAUCAAGAUGGACAUGUGACACCGUCUCCCAUCCACGUCAGCAAGAAUCAUCGUGUGGAGUGUUUGUGUGCAAAGUAAGAUAGUAAGCUUUUCUAUAUGCUCUAUUGUAAACUGAAACGUGAUUGCAGUGACGUUUGACUUUAAGAUUGCAGAGCAAUUGCUGUUGGGUCAGCAGAUUGACUUUGAAGUCAAUAAAUAUGCUGUCGAUCAGCUGCAACUGGAAAUGUGAGAGCUCAGGUAGGAAUUCCGUAUGAGUGCUGUAUGUAAUACUUACUAAACUUGUUGGUUUAACUUGAGCUACUCUUACUUUACUUUUAAUUACUUGUGCUUCGACGACCUCAUGGAUCUCUGCCAUGCCUGUGGGGAAAGACACACCUCUGACGCUGUUGUGGACAAUUGGAUUGAAUGCACGACCUGCUCCAAAUGGUUUCAUUGGCUCUGUGUUGGAAGGCCCAACACACAAGAUGAUUAUUUCUGUCCAGCCUGCACAGAAUAAAAUUCUUGCACACUGUCGGUGGUUAAGGCCUUAUGGCUCCAUUGAUUACAAAUGGAUGUAAGUGAGUCUGUAUUAUGUGAAUUGUUGGGUAACAUACAGGUAUUAUCGGACUCAGCUAUAUGUCUGUGAUGGGCAGCUGCGGCUCCAACCAUCCUGCCUGGGUCCAGUCCCUGGUCCAACCAUGCUGCCUGGGUCCAGUCCCUGGUCCAACCAUGCUGCCUGGGUCCAGUCCCUGGUCCAACCAUGCUGCCUGGGUCCAGUCCCUGGUCCAACCAUGCUGCCUGGGUCCAGUCCCUGGUCCAACCAUGCUGCCUGGGCUGUUAUUUAUUUAUUUUUUCUUUCGCUCUCUCCAUAAAUAAAAUUUGAAUAGUUAUCAGUGUAAGUAAAUUCUCAAUACCCCUGAUAAUAGUGGCUGUGGAUAAUAGUUAUUUAUUCGAUGUGUGUGUGUGGCAUAAUUUUACUGAUUGUGAAAAUCCGGCAGAUAAAUGUCAUGACGGGAGUUAGGACAAUUCUCGGCCUUAUCCUGCAGGGGGCACUGCUGACGUUCUUUACAGUAAUUGUCAUUAAAACUUUAGCCAUAGUUUGUAUCAGAACCUCCAUCUAAAGUACACAGUUUUAUUGACAACAAGACUAAGUAAUUUGACUGUCUUGUUCGUAGACAAUGACACAAGGACUUGACAUUCUGAUGGCACUGACAUGUUCAAUGACAUAAAAACUUAGAUUUGAGAGAUGAACUAAAGAUUUUGAGCAAGUUACAGGCUUUUGCAAGAAAUCCAUUGUGUUUUGCUGUUUGCACAAGUUGUUUUGAGAAAUGCACACACAUAUUUGCAAAUAUUUGCAAUUUCCCAGAUCAUAAUUGAUCUGGGAAUUGUACUAAAACGACCGAGAAAAACUGUAACACGCCACAAACUGGUUGUCAAACUCUCGUUUGUCCAGCCGGUUGCUAUAGGCUUGUUUGUUUGAGAUGAACCUUAUCUGCAGCAGAAGACAAGACGCGGCGAUCUACACUUGCUAAACUUUCCUGCAGCCGUAAAGCUGCCAAACAUAAAACAGAAUAGAAUAAAUAACUUGUAUUUGAAUAAAUCCUCUAUAAUUAUUUGUUUAUGUAACAAUUUGUGUCUGAUAUCAGUUUUCAGGAAUGUACAUGGAUUAUUCUAACAAAAUAUGUUUCAAGAAUAAAUAUUGACAUUUGUCAUAUUUACCAGUUUUUGCAUGUUAGAUA